rnacentral:rRNA from 1 species
GUGGGGAAUCUUCCGCAAUGGGCGAAAGCCUGACGGAGCAACGCCGCGUGAGUGAUGACGGCCUUCGGGUUGUAAAGCUCUGUUAUAUGGGACGAACGGGCAUGGGGCGAAUACCCUCAUGCAGUGACGGUACCGUAAGAGAAAGCCACGGCUAACUACGUGCCAGCAGCCGCGGUAAUACGUAGGUGGCAAGCGUUGUCCGGAAUUAUUGGGCGUAAAGGGCGUGUAGGCGGCCAGACAAGUCUGUCUUAAAAGUGCGGGGCUCAACCCCGUGAUGGGAUGGAAACUGUCGGGCUAGAGUGUCGGAGAGGAAAGCGGAAUUCCUAGUGUAGCGGUGAAAUGCGUAGAUAUUAGGAGGAACACCAGUGGCGAAAGCGGCUUUCUGGACGACAACUGACGCUGAGGCGCGAAAGCCAGGGGAGCAAACGGGAUUAGAAACCCUUGUAGUCC